rnacentral:lncRNA from 1 species
ACCUGGUUUACCGACGGAAGCAGUUCUGUGAGACAAGGAAACCGUAAGGCAGGAUAUGCAGUAACUGCUACUGACAAGGUCUUGGAGAACAGGAGACGUGCCUGAAGACUGGAGGAUAGCCAAUGUCACUCCGGUCUUCAAAAAGGGCAAGAAGGAGGAUCCAGGAAACUACAGACCAGUCAGCCUCACCUCUGUCCCUGGAAAGGUGAUGGACCACCUUGUUCUAGAUGCCAUCUCUAAGCAAUUGGAAGAGAAGAAGGUCAUCAGGAAUUGCCAGUCCAUGAUCACCUCUAAGAUUCCUGGAAAACUGAGGUUCCCCAUCCGAGCUCACUGUAUAAUCAACACAAUCCACUUGCUCCAAGUGGCAUCAGUAGCAUGAUGGGUGGAGGGAACCUUUCCUUUAAACAUCCAGUUCA